CCGGAACUGCGCCAUCUUGCCUCUGUUCGUCUAAACACUCAUGUUUUCUAAUCAUUCUUUAUUCACUCUUUAAGGCUUCAUUUUUUAAAUUCCACAGCUGGGAAAAGUGAGGACAAUGAUACAGGAUCAUAGCUGCCUUUUUGAAGUGGAUUUCUUCAGCAUGCAGGAAACACGAUGUUUUGUUUUUCUUAAUUUUUAUCAUUCUUUCAAUUAUUUUACCAGAACUCUCUUCUUCCAUGUCUGGAAUAUUCCUGAUGGGAAGCUGGACAUUUAGGAUGAAGCAGCAGGACUGUGUUAAGAGCUAUUCCUCCCAAGAAGUCAUGUCUUCUUCAAUAAUGCUAGAAGCCAGAGGAAUGCAUGCUGCUCUUUCCAUGCCCUGGUGCCUGCCCCUGGUGCAUAAGCAGCACCUAGCAACUAGCUGUGAAAGUUGCCGCUGUGACUUCUCUAGAGUUUCUGGGCAGCAGAAGCAUUGUAGGUGAAACGUUUAUCAUGUUAAAAUCUGCCAUUCUUCAGGGAUCUGAAGCUGCUGGGAGAAAAGUUUCAAUAUAAAGGAGGGCCCUGAAGUGCACAGACUGUGUUUGAAAAAGUCAAUACAAGAAAGCAAGCAUGCUUUGAAUAUUUCCAAAAGAAGGUGGACAACCAAAGUCUCUAACUUUCGUAACAUUUGAAGAUAUUCGAGACAGAACAAUAACUGAAUAAUUUAAUUGCUGCAAAUCAUACAAAAUCUUUAAUAUUUUGCAUCACUGUGUGUAUAAAACCAGACAUUUAUUAAACAGCGCAUCAAAAAUACAGUAUGCAGAUCAUUUGUGUUUCACCUGACCUGAGGAGCUGGUUCAGUACCUCAUGCCCAAGGUGAUGCAGUUGUGUCAUGUUUCUCAUAAGAAUAUUUGCAUUUGCAUAUGCCACAUAUUUUAGGAGUAAUUCAAAGUGAAAUAAUCUCACUUUACUCUUACAUGGU
rnacentral:lncRNA from 1 species